UUCACCAAUUGAGCACAUUGAUAUACAUGUAAAUAUUUCAACUGUUUUAACAGCCGUGUUACACCAAUAGUGAAAAGCACCUUCAGAUUGGGGCAUUCCUGUAUAUAUAUUUCUUCCACACUUGUCGUAUUAGAAA